rnacentral:rRNA from 1 species
UUCCGGUUGAUCCUGCCGGACCUGACUGCUAUCGGAUUGAUACUAAGCCAUGCGAGUCAUUGUAGCAAUACAAGGCAGACGGCUCAGUAACGCGUAGUCAACCUACCCUAUGGACGGGAAUAACCUCGGGAAACUGAGUAUAAUGCCCGAUAGAACAUUAUGCCUGGAAUGGUUUAUGUUCCAAAUGAUUUAUCGCCGUAGGAUGGGACUGCGUCCUAUCAGUUUGUUGGUGAGGUAAUGGCCCACCAAGACUAUUACAGGUACGGGCUCUGAGAGGAGUAGCACGGAGAUGGGUACUGAGACACGGACCCAGGCCCUAUGGGGCGCAGCAGGCGAGAAAACUUUGCAAUGUGCGAAAGCACGACAAGGUUAAUCCGAGUGGUUUCUGCUAAAGGAACCUUUUGUUAGUCCUAAAAACACUAACGAAUAAGGGGUGGGCAAGUUCUGGUGUCAGCCGCCGCGGUAAAACCAGCACCUCAAGUGGUCAGGAUGAUUAUUGGGCCUAAAACAUCCGUAGCCUGCCCUGUAAGUUUUCGGUUAAAUCUGUAUGCUCAACAUACAGGCCGCCGGGAAUACUGCAGGGCUAGGGAGUGGGAGAGGUAGACGGUACUCGGGAGGAAGUGGUAAAAUGCUUUGAUCUCUCGAUGACCACCUGUGGCGAAGGCGGUCUACCAGAACACGUCCGACGGUGAGGGAUGAAAGCUGGGGGAGCAAACCGGAUUAGAUACCCGGGUAGUCCCAGCCGUAAACUAUGCAAACUCAGUGAUGCAUUGGCUUGUGGCCAAUGCAGUGUUGCAGGGAAGCCGUUAAGUUUGCCGCCUGGGAAGUACGUACGCAAGUAUGAAACUUAAAGGAAUUGGCGGGGGAGCACCACAAGGGGUGAAGCCUGCGGUUCAAUUGGAGUCAACGCCGGG